rnacentral:lncRNA from 1 species
AUUCUUACCUGUCUAGUCAAACGAAGUAAACAUGUAGUUACCUGGAUUGUCCUGUAGAUGGCGGCGUCUCUUUGCCAUCACCCCUUGGAACCACCCACUGAAGCAAACAGACAAAUAUAAACACCAAUCAGAUCAUGGUAUUCUGUACAGUAACCAAGACGAGCCAAUGAGAGGCGGUGAGAAGAUGCUUUUCACUGUAGUGGGCGGGACAUGUCGAUGAUGGACAAGUAGGGUUUGAGCUCGGGCCAGAUUUUCAGCGAUCGUAGUUGAGGCAUUUGGAGGCAGUGUGGCAGUGGGAUCAGCACUGCUUUUAGGAGGAGAACCGCGUGUGUGAGGCUACCUUUCGGGAGGACACGCUCACAAACUGCAGGAUAAGACACAAGGUUGACGCGUCGCCAUGACAACAGAAGCGGGCACUGAGACGGAGGUGAAGGAGAAAGCGGAGGAGUCAGCAGCUCAGACCGACCAAUCGGAGAAGGCGCCUGAAGAGACCAAGGAAGUUGUCACCGAGGAGGGAGACAAGAAGGAAAAGGAUAAAGAGGGCAAAGGGAUAUCCCGCUACCUGCCGACAUGGCUCAAGAAACAGAAGUCCCAAAGCCAGACCUCACCCACUAAGGACGUCCCGCCGUCGGAGGAAGCUGUUGACAAGGAGACCGAGCAAAAGGAAGGGGCACCCCCAGAAGUGAACGGACACGCCGAAGAGGAGGAGGAGGAGGAGAAGGAGGAAGAGAAGGCAACGGAGCAAGUGAAUGAGAAAGAAGCUGAACCGAAAGCUGAUGUCACGACAGAAACUCAGGUAUUUUCAGAUCUUUUCACUUGUCAUUUCUUAAACGUAUGGAAAAGCUGAGCCCUGUCUCAAUGCAACUAUGACGCCGUUUGUCGUGGUAUCCCUCUCAAGUGACCUCUGCAGUUUUAGUUCAAACUGCCAAUCUCAGCAUACGUACCACUGUAUGCUUCAAAAUCUAGUCUGAUCGUUUUGGUUUUUACUAGAGCUGGCAAUAAUUACAAUUAAUUUGAUUAACUCUGGUCAUUGGCAAUGUGUCCACA